rnacentral:rRNA from 2 species
UGGGGAAUAUUGCGCAAUGGGGGCAACCCUGACGCAGCCAUGCCGCGUGAAUGAAGAAGGCCUUCGGGUUGUAAAGUUCUUUCGGUGAUGAGGAAGGCGGUUAGUUUAAUAGGCUAAUCGAUUGACGUUAAUCACAGAAGAAGCACCGGCUAACUCCGUGCCAGCAGCCGCGGUAAUACGGAGGGUGCGAGCGUUAAUCGGAAUAACUGGGCGUAAAGGGCACGCAGGCGGUUGCUUAAGUGAGGUGUGAAAUCCCCGGGCUUAACCUGGGAAUUGCAUUUCAGACUGGGCAGCUAGAGUAUUUUAGGGAGGGGUAGAAUUCCACGUGUAGCGGUGAAAUGCGUAGAGAUGUGGAGGAAUACCGAAGGCGAAGGCAGCCCCUUGGGGAAAUACUGACGCUCAUGUGCGAAAGCGUGGGGAGCAAACAGG